AACUUCAUCUGCGACCUACCGACUGGGAACAGUCCUACGAUGUCCAUACCCGCUGAGUGAAUGACCAAAGGGACACAAUGUUGUGCAAUUCAACAGCCGGACCAUCGAAAAUGUUCCCAUAUUUUUGGCAAGCCUUGCACCUCUGUGUGAAGGCUAUGCAAUCCUUCUCAAGCGUCAGCCAGAAAAAUCCUGCUCUUAGGAUUCUCGCUCUAAGUGCUCGUCCUACAGCAUGCCUCCACAAAUUCCUUCGUGCAGUUCUCUCAUCACGUACUCUACUACAGCCUAUGCCAAGCACUUCAACUAGGGCAUAGUAUAACCCCUCCGGUGUAAAACAAUUCCAGCACCCCCACCUCUCUUACUAGACGAUCCAUCCACGAAAAGCUUCCAACAAAAUAUCUCGCCUUCUCCCAUUAGCAACUCAACUGCGAAGUCCGCUAGAUGCUGGCCAUGCACUGAACCCCGGGGCUCGUAGCGUAGUUCAAACUCAGAGAGCUUGAUUGACCACCCUAUCAUUCGUCCCUCUAAAUCAGACUUGCGCAAGAUUUUAGCUGUUGGGUAAUCGGUCCGUACCACAACCUGAUGCCCUUGGAAAUACGGCCUGAGGCACCGAGCGACAUACAACAAGGACAACACCACCUUCUC
rnacentral:lncRNA from 1 species